rnacentral:misc_RNA from 1 species
CUUCAUGAUCACCUUUUUCAGUUUCAGCUUCACCAGAAUCAGGUAAAUCAGAUCCUCUAACACUUGAUUCCAUAUCAUUGGAUGAGCCUGCUUCACUUGGCUUCGCUUGUGCUGACUCACCUUCAGAAGUGUAGUUCAGGGGUUUCUCCAGAUUUCCUUCCAAGACUUGUUUCAAAGCCAAGUCUGCUUCGACAUUUUGUGAAUCUGAAGAAGCUCCUACAUCUUCCGAUUCCCCAGGACGCUCAUCACCACCAACAGAAUCAUGACGGAUGUGUGUCUCAUCAUCACUCUCAGAAAGUUUUUCAUGAUCCAAAUCAAAAUAUUCAGUAGGUCUUGUUUCAAGAAUUGGUAAUUGCAUAUUGCGUGUCACGCUUGACGCUUCGAGCACCGCUGUGUUGUCAGAACUCCCAGAUACUUCAGUUGCUACCUCAGCAUGAGGUUGCUCAAGAACAUUAGAUAUCUUCAUUUCUUUCUCAGAUAUUCUCCUAAAUAUCAUGUCAAUAUCUUCAAAUGUUUCUGCUUCUGGCACUGGCAUUUCAGAAUCUUCCAGCGCUGAACUUGACACUUCAGCUGCAGCUGCAACGUUCCCAGAUUCUUCGGUUGCUAGCUCAGCAUUAGAUUGCUCAAGAACAUUUGAUUUCUCAUCUAUUUCUUGCUCAGAUAUUUGCCUAAAUGCUAAAGUGAUGUCUUCAGCUGUUUGUGCUUCCAGUACUGGCAUUCC